rnacentral:rRNA from 1 species
GGAAUUUUGGGCAAUGGGCGAAAGCCUGACCCAGCAACGCCGCGUGUGGGAUGAAGGCCCUCGGGUCGUAAACCACUGUCAGGAGGAAAGAAAAGUCGGCCGGAUAAUACUCGGUCGACCUGACGGUACCCCCAAACGAAGCACCGGUCCACCCCGUGCCCGCCGCCGCGGUAAUACGGAGGGUGCAAGCGUUGUUCGGAAUUACUGGGCGUAAAGCGCGUGUAGGUGGUUCGGUAAGUCGAAUGUGAAAGCCCCGGGCUCAACCCGGGAAGUGCAUCCGAAACUGCCGAACUAGAGUCCCGGAGAGGAAGGCAGAAUUCCCAAUGUAGGGGUGAAAUCCGUAGAUAUUGGGAGGAAUACCGGUGGCGAAGGCGGCCUUCUGGACGGUGACUGACACUCAGACGCGAAAGCGUGGGGAGCAAACAGG